rnacentral:rRNA from 1 species
AGCUCCAAGAGCGUAUAUUAAAGUUGUUGCAGUUAAAAAGCUCGUAGUUGGAUUUCUGGUACAAUGCGCCUGGCCCGCGACCGUCAGGUCUGUGAGUGCCGGUGCGCGUUUGCCAUCCUUCUAGAAAACGUUUCUACCCUUCACUGGGCCGGAUUCGCGAUCUAGAUCUUUUACUUUGAAAAAAUUAGAGUGUUUAAAGCAGGCUUUUGCUAUGAAUACAUUAGCAUGGAAUAAUAAUCUAGGACUUCGGUUCUAUUUUGUUGGUUUCUAGUACUGAAGUAAUGAUUGAUAGGGAUAGUUGGGGGUGCUAGUAUUGGCCGGCCAGAGGUGAAAUUCUUGGAUUCGGUCAAGACUAACUUAUGCGAAAGCAUUCACCAAGGAUGUCUUCUUUA